rnacentral:tRNA from 1 species
UAUAGCUUAAUUUAACUGGAAAAGCUUUUGGCGCGUAACCGAAUUCAGAUCCGGGUUCGAAUCCCGGUCCAG